GUGGGGAAUAUUGGGCAAUGGGCGAAAGCCUGACCCAGCAACGCCGCGUGAAGGAAGAAGGUCUUCGGAUCGUAAACUUCUAUCCUUGGUGAAGAUAAUGACGGUAGCCGAGAAGGAAGCCCCGGCUAACUACGUGCCAGCAGCCGCGGUAAUACGUAGGGGGCAAGCGUUGUCCGGAAUGAUUGGGCGUAAAGGGCGCGUAGGCGGCCUGGUAAGUCUGGAGUGAAAGUCCUGCUUUUGAGGUGGGAAUUGCUUUGGAUACUGUCGGGCUUGAGUGCAGGAGAGGUAAGUGGAAUUCCCGGUGUAGCGGUGAAAUGCGUAGAGAUCGGGAGGAACACCAGUGGCGAAGGCGACUUACUGGACUGUAACUGACGCUGAGGCGCGAAAGUGUGGGGAGCAAACAGGAUUAGAAACCCCAGUAGUCC
rnacentral:rRNA from 1 species